AUUGAACGCUGGCGGCAUGCUUUGCACAUGCAAGUCGAACGGUAACAGGGAGCUUGCUCCGCUGACGAGUGGCGAACGGGUGAGUAAUGUAUCGGAACGUACCUUUCAGUGGGGGAUAACGUAGCGAAAGUUACGCUAAUACCGCAUAUUCUCUGAGGAGGAAAGCAGGGGACCUUCGGGCCUUGCGCUGAUUGAGCGGCUGAUAUCAGAUUAGCUAGUUGGUGAGGUAAAGGCUCACCAAGGCGACGAUCUGUAGCGGGUCUGAGAGGAUGGUCCGCCACACUGGAACUGAGACACGGUCCAGACUCCUACGUGAGGCAGCAGGGGGGAAUUUUGGACAAUGGGGGCAACCCUGAUCCAGCCAUGCCGCGUGAGUGAAGAAGGCCUUCGGGUUGUAAAGCUCUUUCGGCCGGGAAAAAAUCGCAUGGGCUAAUACCCUGUGUGGAUGAUGGUACCGGAAUAAGAAGCACCGGCUAACUGCGUGCCAGCCGCCGCCGUAAUAC
rnacentral:rRNA from 1 species